AAUAAGAUCAUUUUUCAGUUUUUAGAUAUACAGUGUCUUGACUAUUCGUCUUAUUUGAAAUUUUUUAUAAUUAAUAUUUUAUUGUUACUAUAUGAAAAAACAUGAAUAGUACUUUAUGUGUGGCUAAUUUUUUUAUGUUUUUGUACAAUUUUUUGAAAUAAGACGAAUGGUCAAACUUUGGACAUAAGAAUCGAAAAAUGAUCCUAUU
rnacentral:pre_miRNA from 1 species